UUUCCUCUAUAUGUAUGCACAAAUGUGAGCACAAUUCAAAUUUCUUAGCUUUGUUGGCAAAUGUUAUUCCUUCCUGUUAGUGGAAAUGUAGAACAUGCUACCCCUGUGAAGUACAGCUGAAUUUAAUGGAAGAAUCUUCACUCAUUUGUUACAGAAUUCCCAGGCUCAGAGGACCCUUGUGUGCAUGUGAACCACUUGAAAGAAGAAUGAAAAGGAACAUAAACAAAAAUGACAAUUCUGAGAGCCUUAACUCCCCAAAGUAGCUUCCCUGAAGUCACUCCAACUGUAUGUGUGAGCUGAUGGCAUGAACUGCCUGUGAUGCCUUAUAAAUGGGAUCGGUGACUGGAGCUUCGUGAGAGGGCCUGCUUACAGGGAUCCAGCUCUAAGGCAAUG